CGUGCUGCUUCAAACUUGCAAAUCUACGGCUGGCUGGCUAAUUUGUGGCC
rnacentral:sRNA from 1 species